rnacentral:rRNA from 1 species
CAGCCGCCACGGGAAUACGAAGGGUGCAAGCGUUAAUCGGAAUUACUGGGCGUAAAGCGUGCGCAGGCGGUUCGUUAAGACAGAUGUGAAAUCCCCGGGCUUAACCUGGGAACUGCAUUUGUGACUGGCGAGCUAGAGUACGGCAGAGGGGGGUAGAAUUCCACGUGUAGCAGUGAAAUGCGUAGAGAUGUGGAGGAAUACCGAUGGCGAAGGCAGCCCCCUGGGCCAAUACUGACGCUCAUGCACGAAAGCGUGGGGAGCAAACAGGAUUAGAUACCCGCGUAGUCCCUGUCUCUUAACC